CCGCGAGCGGACUGCGUGGGCUGCGGCUGUGGGUCGGGGAGGCUGUGGGUCCGAGCUGACGGCCAACAGAUGCUGAGUGAUGUGAACACUUCCUACCACUUUCUUUAGCUGGCAGAGGCAAUUCAGGAUUUUCAAACGUGACCUUUAUUCCUGUUGUCUCAGAGAUAUGGUCAGUGCCCCGAUGCCAAGGUA
rnacentral:lncRNA from 1 species